ensembl:snRNA U2 U2 spliceosomal RNA
ACUACAUCUCAGCCUUUUGGCUAAGGUCAAGUGUAGUGUCUGUUCUUAGCAGUUUAAUAUCUGAUAUGUCCUAUAUCAAAGGACAAUAUAUUAAAUGGAUUUUGGAACUAGGAGAUGGAAUAGGAGCUUGCUCUGACCACUCCACACAUUGACCUGGUAUUGCAGUACUUCCAGGAAUGGUGCACCCCCU